GCCGGGCAUGGUGGCGCAUGCCUGUAAUCCCAGCUACUCUGGAGGCUGAGACAGGAGAAUCGCUUGAACUCAGGAGGCAGGGGUUGCAGUGAGCCAAGAUCACGCCACUGCAGUCCAGCCUGGGCAACAAGAGUGAAACUCUGUCUCAA
rnacentral:SRP_RNA from 1 species